rnacentral:lncRNA from 1 species
AAAUGACCUUUUAUUUUCUUAUUCAUACAUUUUUAUUAUGUUAACUUUAAGUUAACCUUUGGUUACCUUUAAAUUUAGUUCUAGGAUUUCAUUUGUUUAAAUUUUAUUUUUCAGUGUUAGAAAAGGUAUAUGAGCUCCUCGGAGUAUUAGGUGAAGUUCAUCCUAGUGAGAUGAUAAAUUAUUCAGAAAACCUGUUCCGGGCAUUUCUUGGUGAACUUAAGACACAGGUAUGAGGAAUUUGAUGAUAUUUUGCUUAUAUAGACUUAGUUGCUUUUUUCUCAUCAAGUAAUAUCUUCCUAAAACUUUUUUAGAUGACAUCAGCAGUAAGAGAGCCCAAACUGCCUGUUGUAGCUGGUUGUCUGAAGGGACUGGCUUCACUUCUGUGCAACUUUACGAAGUCCAUGGAAGAAGAUCCCCAAACUUCAAGGGAGAUUUUUGAUUUUGCACUCAAAGCAAUUUGUCCUCAGGUAGGAUUAUUAUUGCAAUUCAUUUACUAUUAAGUUUGUGAUUUUCAAACACUGAUAGUGAAUUUUUUUUUCUGAAAUAGAUUGAUUUGAAGAGAUACGCUGUGCCUUUGGGUAAGACUCUGUCCUUAAUAAGGUAUAAUUUAGAUUAAUAAGUUAACAUUACAAGUAAGUUUUUGUUUAAACUACCAAUGAAACUGACACCUGUGAUGUUUCCAUU